rnacentral:rRNA from 1 species
GUGGGGAAUAUUGGGCAAUGGGGGGAACCCUGACCCAGCAACGCCGCGUGAGUGAAGAAGGUCUUCGGAUUGUAAAACUCUGUCUUCAGGGACGAAGGAAGUGACGGUACCUGGAGAGGAAGCCCCGGCUAACUACGUGCCAGCAGCCGCGGUAAUACGUAGGGGGCGAGCGUUGUCCGGAAUUACUGGGCGUAAAGGGCGCGUAGGCGGCCUUUUAAGUCAGAUGUGAAACCCCCGGGCUUAACCUGGGGAUGGCAUUUGAAACUGGGAGGCUUGAGUGCAGGAGAGGAAAGUGGAAUUCCUAGUGUAGCGGUGAAAUGCGUAGAGAUUAGGAGGAACACCAGUGGCGAAGGCGACUUUCUGGACUGUAACUGACGCUGAGGCGCGAAAGCGUGGGGAGCAAACAGGAUUAGAAACCCGGGUAGUCC